rnacentral:rRNA from 1 species
UACAGAGGGGGCAAGCGUUGUUCGGAAUUACUGGGUGUAAAGGGCGCGUAGGCGGCCUUCUAAGUCGAACGUGAAAUCCCCGGGCUCAACCCGGGAACUGCGUCCGAGACUGGAAGGCUUGAAUCCGGGAGAGGGAUGUGGAAUUCCAGGUGUAGCGGUGAAAUGCGUAGAUAUCUGGAGGAACAUCGGUGGCGAAGGCGGCAUCCUGGACCGGUAUUGA